rnacentral:rRNA from 1 species
UACGUAGGCAGCGAGCGUUGUUCGGAGUUACUGGGCGUAAAGGGUGUGUAGGCGGUUCUCUAAGUUUGGUGUGAAAUCUCUCGGCUCAACCGGGAGGGUGCGCCGAAAACUGGGGGACUCGAGUGCGGGAUGGGAGAGUAGAAUUCCUGGUGUAGCGGUGAAAUGCGUAGAUAUCAGGAGGAAUACCGGUGGUGUAGACGGCUCCGUGGACCGCCACUGACGCUGAGACACGAAAGCGUGGGUAGCAAACAGG